rnacentral:rRNA from 1 species
ACGCUGGCGGCGUGCCUAAUACAUGCAAGUAGAACGCUGAAGGAGGAGCUUGCUUCUCUGGAUGAGUUGCGAACGGGUGAGUAACGCGUAGGUAACCUGCCUGGUAGCGGGGGAUAACUAUUGGAAACGAUAGCUAAUACCGCAUAACAGUAGAUGUUGCAUGACAUUUGCUUAAAAGGUGCAAUUGCAUCACUACCAGAUGGACCUGCGUUGUAUUAGCUAGUUGGUGGGGUAACGGCUCACCAAGGCGACGAUACAUAGCCGACCUGAGAGGGUGAUCGGCCACACUGGGACUGAGACACGGCCCAGGCUCCUACGGGAGGCAGCAGUAGGGAAUCUUCGGCAAUGGACGGAAGUCUGACCGAGCAACGCCGCGUGAGUGAAGAAGGUUUUCGGAUCGUAAAGCUCUGUUGUAAGAGAAGAACAGGUGUGAGAGUGGAAAGUUCACACUGUGACGGUAUCUUACCAGAAAGGGACGGCUAACUACGUGCCAGCAGCCGCGGUAAUACGUAGGUCCCGAGCGUUGUCUGGAUUUAUUGGGCGUAAAGCGAGCGCAGGCGGUUAGAUAAGUCUGAAGUUAAAGGCUGUGGCUUAACCAUAGUACGCUUUGGAAACUGUUUAACUUGAGUGCAAGAGGGGAGAGUGGAAUUCCAUGUGUAGCGGUGAAAUGCGUAGAUAUAUGGAGGAACACCGGUGGCGAAAGCGGCUCUCUGGCUUGUAACUGACGCUGAGGCUCGAAAGCGUGGGGAGCAAACAGGAUUAGAUACCCCUGGUAGUCCACGCCGUAAACGAUGAGUGCUAGGUGUUAGACCCUUUCCGGGGUUUAGUGCCGCAGCUAACGCAUUAAGCACUCCGCCUGGGGAGUACGACCGCAAGGUUGAAACUCAAAGGAAUUGAC